UUGGUUGGCUCUUCAACAGGCAUCCUUUUCUCUCCCUGUUUCUCUUUUAGGUCUAUAUUCAAUCCUGGCGUCCUGGGAAUUUGACCUUCUCCAUUGCCAGUGCUGCAUACCAUUCCCAUUCUCUGAGGCCGCAGAGAGUAAACAGGGAGGUAUCCUGUUAACAAUACCAACUUAUGAAGAUGCUGGAAAACAGCCUGCGUUAUCCAAUGGGAUGGCUAAGCAUCCAACCAAUUCCAAACAGGCAAUAUUACUAUACUUGUGUUUGGAUAUAAAGGAAAUCCCAAACUCUCUUGGAUGACAAUCCAUAGCCAGGAUCCUCAUCAGACAUCUGCUUCUCUCCAAUAAUAUGUACCUCUGAGACUGCGGGAAUACGGAUGCUCAGCUGAUGUGACAACAUUUUAAGACUGUGUUGGACUAAGGAAGGAUGUUAGUCUCGAAGCCUGGAACAUGUGCAUAAUGGGACCUUCUGUGCCCAUUGCUUUAACAGCAGAGAGGGAGCAUAUCUCCGACAUUCUUGUUAUCAGGAAACAGCGUUUGUACAGUUACUUCUUUUUCCAAUGAAUAAAAGAUACUCUGAUCUCACAAACUGGGGGUGGGGAGUGCCAUUUUAUUUUGUUUCCCGGCUUGGGACACAACACAUUUGGGAACAAAUUAAUCUAUCUGCAAGUCUGGAAUAAAGCCCAGUUCUUUACAGGGAAUUUCCCAACACAUCUAUCUCAAGGUAAGAGAUGUUUAUUUAAGUGGGACUUACACCCACCAUAUAAGAUGGUAUUCGUUUGCAUGAUGAUACAGAUAGCCAUGGAGCCUCCGGUGGUGCAGCGUGUUACAGUGCUGAGCUGCUG
rnacentral:lncRNA from 11 species